rnacentral:rRNA from 1 species
AUGAACGCUGGCGGCGUGCCUAAUACAUGCAAGUCGAGCGAACAGACGAGGAGCUUGCUCCUCUAACGGUAGCGGCGGACGGGUGAGUAACACGUGGAUAACCUACCUAUAAGACUGGGAUAACUUCGGGAAACCGGAGCUAAUACCGGAUAAUAUAUUGAACCGCAUGGUUCAAUAGUGAAAGACGGUUUUGCUGUCACUUAUAGAUGGAUCCGCGCCGCAUUAGCUAGUUGGUAAGGUAACAGCUUACCAAGGCAACGAUGCGUAGCCGACCUGAGAGGGUGAUCGGCCACACUGGAACUGAGACACGGUCCAGACUCCUACGGGAGGCAGCAGUAGGGAAUCUUCCGCAAUGGGCGAAAGCCUGACGGAGCAACGCCGCGUGAGUGAUGAAGGUCUUCGGAUCGUAAAACUCUGUUAUUAGGGAAGAACAAAUGUGUAAGUAACUAUGCACGUCUUGACGGUACCUAAUCAGAAAGCCACGGCUAACUACGUG